UAUUAGAAUCAAAAAUUUGCUUGAGAAUUCCUAAAGUCUGAACUAAAAUAUGACUUUCAGCUCCAACAUUCAGGAAUCUUUUGCUAUUUCCAAUCUUUCUACUAACCUUAAGUUAUUGUAACAGUUUGCAUGGACUUUCGAUAUCCAAUAUCUAGGUAGUGAUGUCAAAAAUAGAGAAAUCACAAGGUGUUAUCGUAUAAGUAUCUUAUCCGGCAAUCCUUUACUGAUUUCUCUUUCUUAGCUUAUUCGGAUCAAGAGACUGCC
rnacentral:lncRNA from 1 species